rnacentral:rRNA from 2 species
CCGCCUGGGGAGUACGGCCGCAAGGUUAAAACUCAAAUGAAUUGACGGGGGCCCGCACAAGCGGUGGAGCAUGUGGUUUAAUUCGAUGCAACGCGAAGAACCUUACCUGGUCUUGACAUCCACAGAACUUUCCAGAGAUGGACUGGUGCCUUCGGGAACUGUGAGACAGGUGCUGCAUGGCUGUCGUCAGCUCGUGUUGUGAAAUGUUGGGUUAAGUCCCGCAACGAGCGCAACCCUUAUCCUUUGUUGCCAGCGGUUAGGCCGGGAACUCAAAGGAGACUGCCAGUGAUAAACUGGAGGAAGGUGGGGAUGACGUCAAGUCAUCAUGGCCCUUACGACCAGGGCUACACACGUGCUACAAUGGCGCAUACAAAGAGAAGCGACCUCGC